UACGAGUGCCUCAAGCGUUAUCCGGAAUCAUUGGGCGUAAAGGGUGUGUAGGUGGCUCUGUUAGUCUCUUGUUAAAUUCUUCGGCUUAACCGGGGGCAUGCAAGGGAAACGGCAGAACUAGAGGAUGCGAGGGGUCUGCGGAACUCAUAGUGUAGCGGUGAAAUGCGUUGAUAUUAUGGGGAACACCAAAAGCGAAGGCAGCAGACUGGAGCACUCCUGACACUGAAACACGAAAGCGUGGGUAGCGAAUGGG
rnacentral:rRNA from 1 species